UAUGACUCUCGGCAACGGAUAUCUCGGCUCUCGCAUCGAUGAAGAACGUAGCAAAAUGCGAUACGUGGUGUGAAUUGCAGAAUCCCGUGAACCAUCGAGUCUUUGAACGCAAGUUGCGCCCGAGGGACCCUCCCGAGGGCACGCCUGCCUCAUGGGC
rnacentral:rRNA from 1 species